AAACAGUUCAGAACUUCGGGUCAUGUAACAGAUUUGAACAAUGGUAGUUACCUGUUAACUGGACACUGCCUUUGGCCAGGCAACAUCCAGAUCAAUGUGGCAGUCAUGCAUCCACGUGAGUACAUCAGGGCUACCAUGCAUCAAGCUCAGCUGUCUGUUUCAAGAUAUAUUUACGGAAAUUUCAUCAAAAACUCUACACAGGAGACCACCAUUUGUUGGAGCUUACCAAAUGUUAUUG
rnacentral:sRNA from 1 species